rnacentral:rRNA from 1 species
UACGUAGGGGGCAAGCGUUGUCCGGAUUUACUGGGCGUAAAGAGCGUGUAGGCGGCCACGCAGGUCCGUUGUGAAAACUGGAGGCUCAACCUCCAGCUGUCGACGGAAACCGUAUGGCUAGAGUCCGGAAGAGGAGAGUGGAAUUCCUGGUGUAGCGGUGAAAUGCGCAGAUAUCAGGAGGAACACCCGUGGCGAAAGCGGCUCUCUGGGACGGUACUGACGCUGAGACGCGAAAGCGUGGGGAGCGAACAGG